rnacentral:lncRNA from 1 species
GUUUUUGGAUGCAUGCCUACUUUAAAGUGUUGAUAGCUUGCAUGUGUAUUCAAAUGUUCAUACUUGUUCUUAGUUAGGACAAAAUUUUUUCCUUCAAUGGACUGAUUAGACAUCUACAAAUUACUAGCUUUAUGUGAACCCUAACUAAGUAAUGAAAAUGAAAACUGAAUUUACAUUUUUGUUUGAAAGCUAAAGUAAUUUAAAAUGCAAAACAAGAUAAAUAUGAAUAAUAGAUUGAUUAAAAAAUGAUGGGAAUGGAACUAGGGAUACCGAUUUCACCAUUACAAGCCAAUUCCAUGAAAAUUAAGUCAAAACACAUUCAACUCUCCAAUAUGCAACUAGGGUUCGUUUUACUCAUUUUUGAUCAUCCAUUUGAUGUGUGGUUGUGAUCAAGUACUCCUAAUCUGCAACCUAGUUGUGAUGUUCAACUUAGAUUACCAAAUAAGAAUCCAUUAAGAAUAAGAAAACUUCAAAAAACCAAAGAAAUCACAUGGUAGGAUGUAUGCAUAGCAGUUUCUUCAUUCAUUCACAUGUCUACCAAGAUUAAGCAUGAUGUGUACUAUAACCUUGAUCAAAUAAUCUGUAAGAAACCCUAAUGGUGAUCAAACAUUAAGAUAAACAAACAAAUUGAACUAUGAAAUCAGUGAAUGAAACAAGAAAAUAGAUUGAUGAAUCAAAUAGUUUAACUUAAUAAUAUAGAAUAGUUUUGCAAGGCUACAUCAAAAUCCCCAACUAUGAACUUAAUUACACAACAUGAUUACAGAAUAUAUAAAUAUCAAGAACAACAUGAGUGAAAUUAAAAUUCAUAGAAGAAACCCCCUUGAAGCAAUUCUAAUGUUGAACUUCUCCAAGAACAGCACUGCUGUGUGGUUUCUUUGUUGGCUGUGGAUGGUGAAUGGAGAAAAGAUUUUGUUUCUGGAAGAAAGGCCAAAGAAAGAAAAAAGAGAGAGCUAUGGGUGUCCCAAGGGGAAGCUUGUGUAAAAGUGGCUGAAACUCUCAAUUUUAUAAGGUUAAAGAUGCCGUUGCAGAUUGCCAAUACAUCCAGUAAUUGGACAUUUAAAUCCCACCUUUUUUUGCUGUUAUUGGUCUUAUAAAGAGCCAUAUUCAUCACCAUAUUCAGUUUCCACUUUUAAUUCUUUGUCUACAUCAGCAUCCUUAUUCAAUUCUCUACUUUUAGCACCAUUUUGCCUUAUAUGUCCUCAACUGAGCUCCAAAAUACGAUUAGCUGCACACUAACACAAAAGAGGGUAAUAUGCAACUAGUUUAACUCAAAAAUAUCACAAAGGGACUAGGAAGGGGUGGUAUAAAUGUAUGAAAUAUAUGAGUUAUCAAAUACCCCUAAACCUAGUUUUUGCUGGUCCUCGAGCAAAACUAAAACUGAAAACAAACAAAACAAAGAAAAAUCUAACUAGACCACUUUCGCUGGCUAAACGAUUGCACUGAACAUGUGCAACAAGCCUUUAAACCUCUAGUGUCCCCAAUCAGGGGAGUUGUGUCUCCUGAGGGUUUACAGUGAUGAUGCCCACAAACAUCUACAAACACUGCAAAUGGUUAAAGCAUGCUUGAAACAACCUAAUAAGAACCAAUGAAAGCUUAGUCAUAUAUCCAAACCAAAAGUCUGCCACUUCAAAGAAUUGUAUCAUAUGUAGAGUGUAAAAAAUAUUACUCCAUGACUCAUGACUUCAAAAACACCAUACUCAAAUGCCAAAGAUAGAAUUCGCCUCAACUCUAGUCUUCACAGAUAUCACUCAAAUUUUCACUCAGUUCUUAAGGUGUAGUCUCUCCACGAACACAUGUGAGUGAAAUUAUGUAAAAGGGAUUAAAAAAUUCUCACAUACGAAAUAUGAAAUAAAAGCACAUUUUCUGAACAAAUAUCAUGAAAUGAAUCAAAUAUGGAUAGCACACAUACUUACCAGCACCCAUGAAUAUAUCCCCAAAGAUCAGCUAGGUCUUUCACAAGGUUGUAAUGUAAGGCUUAGGCUAGGGGCUAUGAAAGAAUGGAUAGGAAAUACUAGAGCUUGGGACAUACCAAAGUGUCUUUAUUGUGAAACCAACAAGCUUUCCUCUUGAAUUGAUCUUCAUUGUUUCUUCUUGCAACCAGGGCACACGUGCAAUAGUGAAGGAUUUGGAAAUUGCAUCUUCUUUAUUCAUUUUUUUUCUUGUUCUUUUUUUUUUUUUUUUGUGUUUGAAACUUUUUUUUCUUGUCUUGCAAUUCAAGCACAUGUUACCUUGGUACAUGCCACAUUCUUGAUCUAGAGCUCAAUCUAUCUUUGUCUUCAUCACUUUGGUAUUCUCCAAACUAUAAGGUAUGGCUGUAAUGGCUAAGAUGGGUAGAGUUUGGUGUAGGUGAUGAAAGAAUCAGGUUAAAAGUGUUUCGCUGCGACAAAGAUAAUUGGAACACACAAAGGGAUGGGACUUAGGCCUUUUAGUGGUUAAAACAUGCAUAGCCUAACAUUGUCUCAAUGAGUUCAUUCAUAGGUGAUAAUAAACACAUGGUAUCGGCAAUAUAUGAUUAUUCUUAGCAUUCAAUCAAAGAAAAAUAAUGAGAUCAUUUAAAGUGAAAUUGAAAGAAAAACAUAAGGAUUGUAUAAUGGCAAAAGUAAGAAUGUCGAACCAUAGGGACUGAUUAGACCUCUACAAAUUACUAGCUUUAUGUGAACCCUAACUAAGCAAUGGAAAUGAAAACUGAAUUUAGAUUUUUGUUAUGAAAGCUAAAGUAAUUUAAAAUGCAAAACAAGAUAAAGAUGAAUAAUAGAUUGAUUCAGAAACGAUGGGAACGGAACUAGGGAUACCGAUUUCACCAUUACAAGCCAAUUCCAUGAAAAUUAAGUCAAAACGCAUUCAACUCUCCAAUCUGCAACUAGGGUUCAUUUUACUCAUUUUUGAUCAUCCAUUUGAUGUGUGGUUGUGAUCAAGUACUCCUAAUCUGCAACCUAGUUGUGAUGUUCAACUUAGAUUACCAAAUAAGAAUCCAAUAAGAACAAGAAAACUUAAAAAACCAAAGAAAUCACAUGGCAGGAUGUAUGCAUAGCAGUUUCUUCAUUCAUUCACAUGUCUACCAAGAUUAAGCAUGAUGUGUACUAUAACCUUGAUCAAAUAAUCUGUAAGAAACCUUAAUGGUGAUCAAACAUUAAGAUAAACAAACAAAUUGAACUAUGAAAUCAGUGAAUGAAACAAGAAAACAGAUUGAUGAAUCAAAUACUUUAACUUAAUAACAUAGAAUAGUUUUGCAAGGCUACAUCGAAAUCCCCAGCUAUGAACUUAAUUACACAACAUGAUUAGAAAAUAUAUAAAUAUCAAGAGCAACAUGAGUGAAAUUAAAGUUCAUAGAAGAAACCCGCUUGAAGCAAUUCUGAUGUUGAACUUCUCCAAGAACAGCCCCGCUGCAUGGUUUCUUUGGUGGCUACGGAUGGUGAAUAGGGAAAGGAUUUUGUUUCUAGAAGAAAGGCCAAAGAAAGAGGAGAGAGAGAAAGCUAUCGGCGUCCCCAAGGGGUGUGUAAAAGUGGUUGAAACUCUUAGUUUUAUAAGGUUAAAAAUGCUGUUAUAGAUUGCCAAGAAAUCCUAGUAAUUGGGCAUUUAAUUCCCACGUUUUUUUACUGUUGUUGGUCUUAUAAAGAGUCAUAUUCAUCACCAUAUUUAGUUUUCACUUUUGUUGGAAGUAUUGUUGGAAAUGUGCCCUAAAGCCAAUCAUGUGAUGAUACUUUACGGACAUUUCACAUGUUAAA